UUACGGCCAUAUCACAUUGAAAUACCGGUUUCUAUAUGAUCACCGAAGUUAAGCAAUGUCGUGAUUAGUCAGUACCUAGAUGAGUGACUGCUUGGGAAUACCAGGUGCUGUAAG